rnacentral:rRNA from 1 species
GAUGAACGCUGGCGGCGUGCCUAAUACAUGCAAGUCGAGCGAACAGACGAGGAGCUUGCUCCUCUGACGUUAGCGGCGGACGGGUGAGUAACACGUGGAUAACCUACCUAUAAGACUGGGAUAACUUCGGGAAACCGGAGCUAAUACCGGAUAAUAUAUUGAACCGCAUGGUUCACUAGUGAAAGACGGUUUUGCUGUCACUUAUAGAUGGAUCGGCGCGUCAUUAGCUAGUUGGUAAGGUAACGGAUUACCAAGGCAACGAUUCGUAGCCGCCCUGAGAGGGUGACCGGCCAAACGGGAACUGAGAUACGGUCCAGACUCCUACGGGAGGCAGAAGUAGGGAAUCUUCCGCAAUGGGCGAAGGCCUGACGGAGCAACGCCGCGUGAGUGAUGAAGGUCUUCGGAUCGUAAAACUCUGUUAUUAGGGAAGAAGAAAUGUGUAAGUAACUAUGCACGUCGUGACGGUACCUAAUCAGAAAGCCACGGCUAACUACGUG